rnacentral:misc_RNA from 1 species
GUUUAAACCAGCAAAAGUACCAAAAAUUAGGUGGUUUUAGUUGCAUGAUUUCCCCCAUUUGAUGCGUUCGUACACAUGGAAUAAAAGUUUGCAGCUUUGCAAAGUACAGAAACAAGAAAUUAAUGGGUUUUCAUUGUUGAGUUCUGAAAAUCACGCCUCUCUGUCUUUCUCUCUUAUGUGGUAAUUGAUGUUUUCCAUCUAUCUAGCAUGUGUAACUGAUCAUUGACACAUACAAAUGACAUAUUCAAACCAUUUGUCGUUAUCUAUUAAAAAUUUUUAGGGGAAGUCAUGGCAGUAGCUGU